UCACCGCUUGCGCGGGCAGUCUCAUUAGAGUUCCCAGCUUUACCUGAUGGCAACUAAUGAUAGGGGUUGCGCUCGUUACGGGACUUAACCCAACACCUCACGGCACGAGCUGACGACAGCCAUGCAGCACCUAGUUUCGUGUCCUUGCGGACUAACUCUUUUCGGAGUUAUUCACUAACUUUCAAGCCCAGGUAAGGUUCCUCGCGUAUCAUCGAAUUAAACCACAUGCUCCUCCGCUUGUGCGGGCCCCCGUCAAUUCCUUUGAGUUUCAACCUUGCGGUCGUACUCCCCAGGUGGAUCACUUAACGCUUUCGCUUGGCCACUGACAGUAUAUCGCCAACAGCGAGUGAUCAUAGUUUAGGGCGUGGACUAC
rnacentral:misc_RNA from 1 species